rnacentral:rRNA from 1 species
GUACACGCUGUGACUAGCAUAUCAAUAAGCGGAGGAAAAGAAACUAACAAGGAUUCCCCUAGUAACGGCGAGUGAAGCGGGAAGAGCUCAAAUUUGAAAUCUUAAAGGGUUUCCCAUUACGAAUUGUAGUUUAAAGAAGUGUUUUCUGUUGAGGUUUUGGUAAAAGUUCUUUGGAAUAGGACAUCAUAGAGGGUGAGAAUCCCGUAUUUGACCUUUACUUUCAACUUUGUGAUACACUUUCAAAGAGUCGGAUUGUUUGGGAAUGCAGUCCAAAAUGGGUGGUAAAUUUCAUCUAAAGCUAAAUAUUGGCGAGAGACCGAUAGCGAACAAGUACCGUGAGGGAAAGAUGAAAAGAACUUUGAAAAGAGAGUUAAACAGUACGUGAAAUUGUCAAAAGGGAAGCGUUUGACACCAGUGUUGUUUUUCUGAAAAUCAAUUAAAGAACUGUUUAUGCUAAGCUGUUUAGACUUUAUCAGCUAUCUGUUUAGUUUUGAGCUUUUCUUUAAUGCACUUUUCAGUUAACAAGUCAACAUCAAUUUCUUUUGCUGUAAAAAAGCUUGAGGAAGGUGGCUUGAGAUUCGUCUUAAGUGUUUAUAGCCUCUUGCCUAUGCAGUCGGAGAGAUUGAGGUCUGCAGCGUAGAUCCUUCGGGGCUAAAUGCAUUUGUGCUAAGUUAUAGCAUUUUAUAGACAACUUGUUGACUAUGAUUUGUCUUGUAGCUUACUCGCUUAUGUUAUUUUACCUACGCUUAGGAUGUUGAAGAUGUAGCACAUCAU